rnacentral:rRNA from 1 species
UAGGGAAUCUUCCACAAUGGACGCAAGUCUGAUGGAGCAACGCCGCGUGAGUGAAGAAGGUUUUCGGAUCGUAAAGCUCUGUUGUUGGUGAAGAAGGAUAGAGGUAGUAACUGGCCUUUAUUUGACGGUAAUCAACCAGAAAGUCACGUCUAACUACGUGCCCGCAGCCGCUGUAAUACGUAGUUGGCAAGCGUUGUCCGGAUUUAUUGGGCGUAAAGCGAGCGCAGGAGGAAGAAUAAGUCUGAUGUGAAAGCCCUCGGCUUAACCGAGGAACUGCAUCGGAAACUGUUUUUCUUGAGUGCAGAAGAGGAGAGUGGAAUUCCAUGUGUAGCGGUGGAAUGCGUAGAUAUAUGGAAGAACACCAGUGGCGAAGGCGACUCUCUGGUCUGCAACUGACGAUGAGGAUCGAAAGCAUGGGUAGCGAACAGG